CGCAUUUUUAAUGCUUGUUAUGCUCAUUCAUAUUGAUAAAUAAUAAUAAUUACAACAAUCAUUCUGAAAAGUUCAAUUUAUUUCAUAUAUCGACAACAAAAAUAACCACUAAUCCAUAAUUUCAUAGUUACCAACAACAUAACAAAAUAAUGUAAACUAUUUGAACCGUAUAACUAGUGUUAUUUUGUCUAAUAAUUAGUGAGUUAGAUAGCUAGCUAUAAUACAAGACAAUAAAGGGUACAUAAAAACUUCUGACACUUGAACAUAUGAUGAAGUCUUCCACAUGUCAAAUAUUUCGACAUCAUAACCUGAAAUAAUAAAAUAAGAUGGAUAUCAACAUUAUUUAUGAUAGGACAUAGUAUUACUACUGCUUUAUAACAUUUGACUACUAACAAUCAGACUCUGCACUUUGUCUAUGCACUUAUUUGUAACAAUAGUCCUAUUUGCAAGAAAUUAAAUUGUACAAUUUCGAGCUGGAGAAUAAAAGUAUAGAUCCCAAAAUAUAUGUGCUUCAAAACUUAGAUAUGCAUAAGAAUAAUUUAAAGAUAUUCAACUUAAAGUAAUUGGUUUGAAUCUAAGCUUUCAUGAGGUGCAAGCNNNNNNNNNNNNNNNNNNNNNNNNNNNNNNNNNNNNNNNNNNNNNNNNNNNNNNNNNNNNNNNNNNNNNNNNNNNNNNNNNNNUUAUACAUCUUUUACUUUUAUUUGUUUUGUUUUUGGUUAAGCCCGCUAAAUGAAUAAGAGAAAUUACAUGAAGUUCCUCAAAUAAAAAAUGCAUAGAGGAGUACAAAAUCUAUUUUAAAUUAAGACUACAUAUUAAAAGUUUACUUGGAGAAAGAAUCAACAUUUAUAAACUAAAAUCCUCGCUAGCUAAGUUACAAAUUAAGAAGCUUCAAAGAGAGCAUACUAAUAAGUAGAGUAAUGGCACUGAAUGUUGUAACCAUGACCUAUUAUUUCUUAUGCAGUACAAAAUAAACAUUUACAGUGAAGAGUGCAGAAACGGGAAUGGGCUUUUUGAGUGUUUGUACAUACUUGUUAGAUUUGCCAGAGAAGAUUUCAGGGAUUGAGAAUUCGAUUUGUUGUUCCUAUUGUAUAACAUUUUGCUUAGUAAAGUAAGGUGGUAGAGUUUUCUACCGCAUACAACAAAAGAAAGUUGUAAAUGACCAAACUCGUAUAUUAACAUUCCAUGGAGUACGCAAACAAUCAGAAUGCAAAUAUCGAUGAAAUGAAAGACAAAAACUCAUGUCGAACCUGGCUUGUUGGGUGUUUCUUGUUUUGCUUUCUUUGCCAGAGCCAGGAGCUACUUAGGAGAUGGAGCUGGUCUCUUUUUCUUUUCAACCUUCAUCAUAAAACAUCAAUCACAUAAAAGACGAUGCUAAUUAAGAUAAAUGUAGGCUCACGAGAAAAAAAUGAACAAACAUAAAGAUAAAAAAUUUAGUACUACCUCUUUUUGAUGUAUCUUCUUCUAAAUCUUCAUCUCCAUCCAAAUCAUCAAAAAAAUCCAUUACUUAAGGACCAUAAAAAUCCUAGUAAUCCAAAAUUUAAAAAAAUUAUGUACACCCAGAAAAAAUAUAAGAUAAAGCAUUUCUCCCUGUAUUAAAAGGUAAAAUCUACAUAAUAAGCAUCACAAAAAACUUUAUGAAUGGCACCAUGGCUACAGGCACAUCACUGGAGACAUCAUCACUACCAUCUUCAAAAUCAUCAUCAUCUUUGUUAGAUGUCGGUUCUUUUUUUGGUUCUGCCACCUUCGCAUUUUUCUCAAUAAAUGCAACCUUAGUAAGUGCAGACUUUUUUGAAUCAUGCUUUAUAUCCUUCACAUUAUCCUCAAGUUUUCCAUUUAUGCAUCUAAAACAUUCUCUUCAUGUAAAAAAAUAUCACCUCUAGAAUCAAUUUCAUCAACGCUCAGAUCAUCAAUUGUGCAUACAAUUAAAUACACACUCCCAUUUGUUUUAGUCAUGACUCAUGUAAAAUUUUAAACUCCUUUUCAAGGACCAAGUCAAACAUCAACUAAGGUCUAUCCUCUGCCGGUAGAGUUCCAAUGAUGUAAUUAUUUUCUCCAACAGUUAGGCGUAGAGGAACAUGUUUUACUUCUUUGGCAUACUUCACUUCAUCUAUUGCAGCCUACAAAAUAAAGAUCCCUAAUAGCCAUUUAAGAGUAAAGCCACAUUAUGCUAGCUUGAGAAAGAACACAAAUAUAAUUUAUUUAUUUUUAAAAAAAGAAAGCUAACCUUGUAAAUAUGAAUGAGCUUAUAAAGUUCAGGCUUGAUUUAGAAAUCGUCUUACUUUCACUUCAACACCUAUACAUAGCUCAUGUGAAAGAUAUGUCACACUUUAAUAAAUUAUGUUCAUAUGGUGUAAUUUCUGCAUCAUGAAAAUAAUUGACCAAAACCAUGUUAAGGUAUAGAUUAAAAAAAUAAGCACAUGUAUCAGUGGUUCAAUUUAUGUAUACAUAUACAAACCGAUCUAUACCUUUUUCUAGUUAUUUGGUUUUGAUUCUAGUAUGCAAUUUUAACUCCUAUUUUCUCUGCAUCUAGUUGCUAGAAACAUAAAAAAAUUCCUUUAAAUGAUACAAACAUCUGUAGCAGAAAAAUCAUGACGUCUUAAGCCUUCAAGAUUCAAUCCAUGAAGCUUAACUUUUUUUCUCAGAUACAAUAAUAUACUUUGGAACAUCGUUAGAAACCUGGAGAACAAAAUAACUAAGAUCCUAAAAAGAAACAUAUGUGAUCUUAAAUAUAGUUAGUGUGUUGUAGUCGUAUAAUAUAUGUGCUUUCAAUGUGAGAAAUGUAGAAGAACUAAUUUUAAUAUAUUCAACUUAAAGUAAGUGGUUCGAAACUAAACUUUAAUGAGGUGCAUCUCACAAACAAACUUAAAAGUAUAGCAAUUACAGAUGUAUUGCUAUCUUGAAUUAUGUUUGCAUUUAGGAAAACAACCAAAAUAUGAAACUAUUGAUAUCUUAAUUUAUCAUACGAGGAGUAUUGAGUCUUUCAAAGAAUUAAAAGACAUCAAAAAUUAAGAAAGAAUCUUACCACUGAACCACCACCAAGGAAUGAAAAAGAACCAAUACGGUAAAUUAAUGAACAACAAUAGCUCCUGUAGUGUGGCCGUAGUCCUGUAUGUGAAGAAUUUAAAUUAUCAUCUAUCAGUUAUACUAAAUUUCCAGAAUAGGUCAUGCUUCAUGAAAAUGACUAAAACGAAAUAGUCAACCACAACAUGACCUGCAAGAAGUGUGGUGUUUUUCACUAGAAAGCAAUACAUAUUUUUUCAAUACGUUAAAACUAAAGUGUAUCUAUUUGAAGAUACAAAGAUUUAGUUGGUUGUGUAUAUACAAGGACAUCAAUUAAGAUUUCAGUCUCAAGUUUAUUCAUUUCCAAAUUUUCUAUAAUGGAUCUAAGAACGGAUUGAAGCUUUUAUCUGUAAGAGUUAUUAGCAUUCCACACAAGUUGAAUUAGAUUAGCCUUUUAUGAAACAAAUGCAUUAAUACUACAAAGUAGAAAUAUAUUCUUUUGCUUUGAUAGCUCAUUUAUUUCCUAUUAGUAUAGUAAAUUUUUAAUCAAGCAUGAGUUCAUGUAGGAAUUUUUUUAUCCCUUAUAAACUUAUUAGUGAAUCAAAAGCUACUUAAUCUUUGCAAGAGAGUGAUAAGCAGUAUAACACAAUUAUAGCAUCCAAAUUACAAAUGACAUAAUGCAUGAGGGAUAUCAUAAUAAAAUCAAAUUUCCUAUAACUUCUGGGAUUAUAUUUAUAGGAAAACAAGGAAUUUCACCUCAAAGGGAUAAGGGGCAGAACACAUAGGGUACAACCUCCACUAAUAAUACUGAUAAUUAUCACUAGCGAUAGUAAUAUUUUUGAGAUAGAACAAGAAAUAGUAUUGUUAUACUUGGUGGAUACACUCUACUCCAAGAUUUUCCUGAUCGGGACCUAGACUUUAGGUACUUUCUUAACACAUGAAUUUGUACAUCAGCAAAUCUACACAGGAAAGAAGCACAUACAUGAAGAAAGUAAUCUGAAGAUCUCAUUCAGUAACCUCUAAAAAUUCAUAAGCAUUUUUAUUUCUAAAAUCUUAUACUCUUAGGAAACAUAAAUUGAUUGGAGUACACACACUAAUUCACCAACCUCUAAAAUUUCAAGAGAAUUUAGAUUUCCUAGCUUCUUACAAUUCCGCAGCAAUAAGACUCAAAGUCCUUCAAAUAUCGAUAGUUGAUGUUUGGAUAAAAGACAACUAGAAGGGACACUCUCCUCUCAUCUUCAAUGUUUCUCUCUUUGGUGAAUUCAACAUACAUAAUCUAAUGUUAUUCCUGUUUGAUCAAAAUAUUCAUCCGAGAACCUACGUUAUUUGGUAAUCAUACAGACAUAUAUUCAUGUGUGCUCUAGUUAUAUACAAACAUGAUUAUUCAAGAAAUCACCAUCCAUGUUUUUUACAUAACUUCAAUUAGACUACAGAUCACACAUUAGUCACCUUAUAAUGCAAUAUAUAUUGAUGUUUUCAAGAAAUUAAAACAAAUCUCAAUCACAGAGAGAUCUGAAUGCUAUAGAUUCAGGUAAAAAACAUCAAUUUUUAUUAAUGAUACACAGAGAACUUCUGAACAACCAAAGUAAAGAUAAAAGAAUCGGCGAAACAGAGGAAUCAAAUCAAGUGAUUUUCCAUCAAUUCAACAGCAGUCAGAGAUCAUAUAUUAUGAUUUAACAAACUCAAGAAAUCUAUAAUUUCACAAAUCAUAGAUUGCCAUAGUUAGACAUCACAAAAUGCAAUUUGACAUGGUAUCAAGUAUUUCGGUACUUGAUAAGAAGAAUAUUUUACCAAAAAAGACCAAAAUGUUAAGGAGAAGAAUUAUUAAGGUAACAAUCUGAAACUUACAUGAAUGUAGAAGAUGAAGAUGAUGACAAGGAGAAGAUUUAAACAUCGGUGGUUCAGCAAUAUCGACCUAAAGUCAUGACUCUGACUAUAAAUAGAUGAUGUCUAGUGAUGGGUAAGGCUACCAUAGAAGAUGAUCAGCGUAUAUGGCAGUCAUGGUGCCGCGAGGCGGAGAGCUUUAGAGCAGCAAUGUGGAAUUAGAAUGAGUAGGGUUUUUAGUUAUUUCUUUUGUUAAUUAUUGGAGGAAACAUCUAAUAGUGGUGAAAAACUAGGAGGGAAAAAUGACAAAAUUGUUUUCAAUUAGUAAUUUUUACGUGCAAAUUAUUUUUAUUGUCGGUAAAAAAUAAAUUUUAGUGGCCAAUGUUUAUGGGCCAGUAGUAUCUCAAUGUAAAUAAUUAAUUAGUGGCAAUUGACUUAUUAUCAUUAAAUAAUUAUCGCUAAAAGGCGCCUUUUUGUAGUAGUGUGAGGUUCAUAUGCAAGGCAAUACUAGCAAUACUAAUGUGGGAAUUGUGGAAAAGGAGAAAUGCAAGAAGGCAUGGAAAGGAAAUUACUUUUUAUAAGCUAGAGCAAAAAUGUCAGACCAUAAUAACACAGCUUAUAAGAAGUAAAUACCCGUGGAUAACAGUUCCUAAAGGGUGGGACACAAUUGUAGAGGUACUAAGAAGAUACAGGCCAAGAUUGCACUAUCACGCUGUGAGGUGGAUAAAACCGCAACAAGAUAAAUUUAAGUGCAACACGGAUGAAGCUAGCAGAGGUAACCCA
rnacentral:lncRNA from 1 species